rnacentral:rRNA from 1 species
AAUAGAUACCCUGGUAGUCCACGCCGUAAACGAUGAGUGCUAAGUGUUAGAGGGUUUCCGCCCUUUAGUGCUGCAGCUAACGCAUUAAGCACUCCGCCUGGGGAGUACGGUCGCAAGACUGAAACUCAAAGGAAUUGACGGGGGCCCGCACAAGCGGUGGAGCAUGUGGUUUAAUUCGAAGCAACGCGAAGAACCUUACCAGGUCUUGACAUCCUCUGAUAACUCUAGAGAUAGAGCGUUCCCCUUCGGGGGACAGAGUGACAGGUGGUGCAUGGUUGUCGUCAGCUCGUGUCGUGAGAUGUUGGGUUAAGUCCCGCAACGAACGCAACCCUUGAUCUUAGUUGCCAGCAUUUAGUUGGGCACUCUAAGGUGACUGCCGGUGACAAACCGGAGGAAGGUGGGGAUGACGUCAAAUCAUCAUGCCCCUUAUGACCUGGGCUACACACGUGCUACAAUGGAUGGUACAAAGGGCUGCAAGACCGCGAGGUCAAGCCAAUCCCAUAAAACCAUUCUCAGUUCGGA